UCUCAAGCCUCCCAGCACUUCUGUUUCUAACAGGUAGUAGUUCAUGGGUCAGACAUUCAUAGUGUCCUUUCCUUUUUGUCUUCCACUAUUUCUUUUUCUUUUUUUUUUUGAGCAAGGGCUCUCCCACUUACCUGCAGGCUGAACAGAUUCUUUUCAUAAGCAUCUGCCUGGGGAAUAUUUUCUUACAUAAUUUGCCAUAGGAAGUGCUCACUUCU
rnacentral:lncRNA from 10 species